rnacentral:lncRNA from 1 species
GAGGAUUAUGUUUUAUAGAGGCAUCAUUUACUUGCAGUAAAAUGCAAAGGUCUUAAGUGGAACAUGGGAGGAGUUUGGACACCUGUGUAUAAUCACCACCCAGAUCAAGGUCUAGAACGCCCCAUCAUCACCCCAGAAAGUUCCCUUGUACUCUUCCCUGCUCACCCCCCAUCCCGAGCCCUAUGCAGCCAUUGCUCUUCUUCCUCUCACUGGAGCAUGUGGACUUCUGUGGAGGGCGUGGACUUGUCUGCCUGUUUUGCUCAGCUUUCUCUGCGUGGCUGAGCUGGGAGCAGCUCCCCGUCCUGCUCCGCUGCGCCGUCCCCCAUGGCAAGGGUCUGCCGCCAUGGUAUGGGCCAUUCCACCCUUCAUGGCCACCUGGGCUAUUUCCACUUUUGCCUAUUCUGAGAGGCUGCUGUGAAUUCCUGCAAGGGUUUUUCUGGGUGCUUUUGUUUCGGGUAAACACCUGUGAGUGCAAGGGCUAGGUCCCAAGGCAGACAUAGGUUUUACCGUUUUAAGGAACUGCCAGACAGAUUUCCAAGUGACUGUGCCUCUGCAUUCCUGCCAGCAGCGGACGAGAGUUCUGGCGCUCUGUCCUCAUCCUUGCCAGCGGUGUUUAUGACACCUGUUCAGACUUCUAAAGUCCAAGACGGAACCUCAGCAACGCAGGCACGUCUCCUGGGCAGAGGCGUGCGUCAUGGAAAACUUGGAGGCUGGUGAUUGGGCCGUCUCUGCUGCAGAGUCAAGUCCCUGAACGCUUGAAAAACAACAUAAUGUAUUCCUGUCUGCAGCUCUGAGCAAAAGCUCAUUUUGUGUCCUGUGUUUCCAUUUCCUGAGGAUUAAUAAGUGCGGAGGGGAACUCGGGCUUCGUGCCGAAUAUUUAUUUAGUCAAUAUACACAUCAAUUUAGCAAAUUAGAGAUCGCAAGCCAUUUCUAAGGAAUGCUGUAAAAAUAAUAGCUGUACUUUAAACUUGUAAUGGAUUUUGGUUUGGUGGGAGGUGGUGGCUACUACGUGCCUCGCACUUGAUAAACAAAGAAGUUUAGUUCUCCU